AGAAGCAACUAUGGUCAACGUUAAAAGUAAUCACGGGACAGAAACCGGAAGAAUUCCUGUGACCGCUUAACCAUUAAAAUAUUUUGUCUUCUUUAAAAAAAAUAGAUGAGUCAAGGAGAAAUAUUUUCCUACCAGAGUACUGAAUUUCAGGAACUGAGAUAGUGCUUCUAACCAAUGUAUCACAUCAAGGAAGUAAUAGCAGCUGACCUGCCGACAGCAUUCCAGGGAGAGAUUCUUUGCUCAGCUGACACACUUCUGUUUUUCAAAGUUGAUGCUUAAUUGUAGAUGUUAUCCUAAUUUGUGACACAGAACUAACUCACGCACCAGUCUCUGAUAGAGCCAGAGUCAGCACAGGUUGGGUGAAAAUACAGCCUGAUGUUAGAAUGUCAUCACCUGCUUUGCCCAGAAAGUGGAGACUCUCACAAGGGUUUGAGUCAAAUUAAAACCCCAGACCCACCCCUCUGUUCACCAAGCAGGGAUGGUCUUUGUUACUUUACUGAACAAGAAGGAAGCAACUGUGAUGGAAAAAGAUUGCCUAGCCU
rnacentral:lncRNA from 1 species